GCUGCUUUAUGAUGUAGUUCUCUCUUUGGUAAAUGUGUUAUUCUGUAGCUCGGUUUGCUGAUGGUGCUUCAAUUUUGAUCUAUGAAACGCAAUGCAGGUUUGCUCAUGUUGGUUUAGCCUUACUGACCACACUGGAUAUGAUUCUAGUACCUUGAAUCAAUGUGCCGUUUGGAAUAUCAGAUAAGGUUAUGGUUUUGAGUUGAUCAGCUCUUGCCGAUGCAAUUAAUCAACUCAAGUUCAUGCCUUUCUUGAUUCUAUCUGGACAGUUGUGCUCGCCUGGAAUCGAAGGGACUCUAUUUGCACUUUUCAUGUCAAUCAACAAUCUUGGAUCCGUGCUGGGUUCAUUUCUAGGCGCCGGCUUGGCUUCAUUCUUGAACAUCCACUCCGGUUCUUUCGGCAACCUCCUUCUAGGAAUUGCUAUCCAAGUCGCCUGCUUAUUCGUGCCAGUUGCUUUGCUAUUCUUGAUACCGAAAGACGCCACAGGGAUUUCGGCAUAGAAGUAGAUUAUAUUUUCAACAGAGUUGCAGAGAAGAAAUUAGGACAGAUCAGGGGAGAACUUUGUUCCUUCAGGUCUCUCUCCUGUAUGGCAGUUUACAGGUAGAUUUUCAAUAUACAAGUCCAUUAAGCGGUAGAUACGUCAUAGCAGUCAAAUGGAAGAUGUUCUUGUACUUUUUUCUAUGGAAUGGAAAAAUUCCUUGUGCUUCCUUAAACGUGUCCUUCGAAAUAUAGUGAUUUCAUGUGGUUA